GCAGAAACCCAAGGACUUUGACUUCGCCCAGCAGAAGCUGACCGACAAGAACCUGGGCUUCCAGAUGCUGCAGAAGAUGGGCUGGAAGGAGGGCCACGGCCUGGGCUCGCUCGGGAAAGGCAUCCGGGAGCCCGUCAGCGUGGGGACUGCCUCGGAAGGGGAGGGGUUGGGUGCCGACGGGCAGGAGCACAAAGAAGACACGUUCGACGUGUUCCGGCAGAGGAUGAUGCAGAUGUACAGGCACAAGCGGGCCAACAAAUAGAUCAAAACCACUGGUGAGAAAGAUAAGCCUUGAAGCAGCAAUUACCCUUAAAACAUCAGCCCCGCCCCGGACCUGCCUGGAGCCAGUGCCCAAUUCCAGGGUCUCUUCCGUGAGGACGACAGGCAUCCGGAAAGUGCUAACUCGCCACUUUGGGUGCUCACUGUCUGUGGCUUGUUUCCAUCACUGGAGAUCACUUAGAGAAUCUUAGUGUUUUUGGUCUCUGGUAAAACCUAGAAGACAUUUGUGAUGUUACAAAAUGGAAGUUCUGUUUUAUAAAUCUAAGAAGUUGUGAAUGUUGUUAAUCAUUUAGCAGUUGCAAUAAAUGUAGAGGAAACACAA